GGCGCCAUGGCUUAGUAGUAAAGCGCCUGUCUAGUGAACAGGAGAUCCUGGGUUCGAUCCCCCAGUGGUGCCU
rfam:Ciona savignyi cont_33091, whole genome shotgun sequence.